CACUGUGAAGGCAGAGACAGAGGUUGAGCUUGAAGUGAAGGCUGCAGCUGGCAGUGAUGGUGUGUUGAGGGCAGUUGACUGUUUUGCUCUACCAUGUGUGCCCUCUGACAGUGAAGAAUGGUUGAGAUUUGUCAGAAGUUGUCCUGGGCCCUGCUGGGGUUUCAGUGUUCUGCUUAUGAAGACGGAUGCUUCUGCUGCUCCUGUGCUGCUGCCUCAGAUCCUCGUCCAAGCCACAGCAUUCCCAUCACCGUGUGACAGCUCUGGCCUUUCCUCAGAGCUGGCGGGAGUGAUGAAUUGGUGUCCGGCCAACUUAGAUGGAGGGUGUCACAUUUGUUGUCCCCUGGGGUGUGAGGCAUGUAACUGGAAUGGGUUCUGGAACCUGCUGCAUGUUUAAUGCAGUUUGGAUGCUUUUGUCUGCAGGGGCUGCAUUCCCUGCAUGACAGCUCAUGUUAUCCUGCCCCCGUCAUUACAAGCAAGGAAGGCUCUCCUUGGAGCAAUGACAAGUAUGGGAGGGCCUUGUCUGUAAGGAGAGGAGUCAGGGCUUGGCUCUCCCCUGCCACCCAGAAAGCUUUAGUGGUUCAUCUCUGGCAGCUUGUGAAGUGGGGAAGAGGCAUCUGGGAUGCUGCAGCACAGUGUGUUUUUGUACUGUAUAGAGCCUAUUUAAUAAAAUCUGAGUACUGGGUGAACUCA